CUGUAGAAGAGAUUGAUGACCUUUUUGUAGGUGAUGCCGAGGUAUGCAAAACAAAGGAAAAGUAAUUGAGUUAUAAUUAGGAAAAAGGAAAGAAGGAUAAUACAUAUUACAUCGAUAUUCUGUUGUGAAUAUAUAUGUGUGUAAGGUAUGGAGAAGAGCAUGUAUAUGGAGAGGGCAUGCGGAUCCCACAGGGGGUGACUUUCCAGUAAAAUGUUGGAGACCACAACUCACUUCCAUUGCCGAUAGUAAGACAUUUAAUCAAAAUAAUAAUAUAAAAUACAAAUUCAUUUAUUGGUUUGCAUAUGAUUAUGUUAUUAUGUAAGUGAAACUACACCAAUGGGUUUACAAAGCUUAAUAUAGUAAUAUAUGUUAUUUCAUUUAUUACCAACAUUAGUUUAGAAAGGGUAAUAUAGUAAUAUAUGUUAUUAUGUAUGUGAAACUCCAUUUAAUUGCCCAUCAUACACUGUAUAUGUUGCCUUAGCUCCACUGAAGAAUGUGUACAGCUAAGCAACGGCAUAUCUGGUUGCAGGAACCAAUCUGGAAGGUGAAAUCUAGUCGAUUCUUGAUAUGUGUUGUGGAACAAAAGGUGGAAGCACCUGCAUUGAUUUUGCUGUCAAUCUUGAAAAUAUCCAACAUUUUACUAAAUCGCUCAUUAUUGUGUUUAACCAACAUCUGUCUGAUUAUAGAAAUUACAGUUCACUUUUUAUUUUAAUUGCAUAGGGGAGAAAAACACACUGUACUUGGUGAUGUUUCUGUUCUGGUGAGUUUAAAUGAUAAAAUCUCAUUUUUAGUGAACUUAAGGCCAUAUUUGUUUCUGUUAAGUCAAAGAGAGUCUGUAAUUUGUUAUUUAGGUAAGGCAUCCAAAUAUAUUAUUGUUUCUCCAUAGUACUGAGGCUGAGAUAUUUGAUGGGUUGUAAAGGUUGUUAUCUAUAUUAUCCCUAAACAUGUUAUGCUAUUGGCAAAAAAGAUCAGGGAAUUGGGAUUAGAAGGUAUACAAAUGUACACAUGCUCAUUUUUCAAAUGGAUUCUUUGUUCGUUAUUAUUGCUAUUUUUUGUGCUCUCAUGUCCUAAAAUUAGUUCAUAAUCACUCUUUUUAAUUCUUUGAUGUCUCUAUUAUUCAAGCUUCCCAACUUAGUUUGGAUUAUCAUAUAAUAGUGUUGUUGAUGUUCUAAUGUUAUACUAUUUUUUUGAUACCAGGAAUGAAUAUUAUGCUUGGGGCCUGCAUCGCAUAACUAAAGCUGUGAGCUUCCUUAAUAAUGAUUGCAAUCUUGUGCACGGUAAUGUUUGUUUGGAAAGUGAGGUGGCUACUCCAACUUUGGACUUGAAGUUGCAUGCUUUUGAUGCUCUUUUUGAGUUUGAUGGGAAUAAUGAACUCUCUACUGGACCAAUGCUAAUUGGAUGUAAAGCAUGUUAAGGGAAUGUUGUAAUAGGGUCCACCUGGCACUGGGAAGACUCUACUGGCUCGCCAAAUUGGAAAGAUGUUAAAUGGAAGAGACCCAAAGAUUGUCACAGGCUGUAAGAGAUGCUGGAGCCCUUAAAGAAGCUAAGGAUAAACUGGAGAAGUGAGUUGAAGAGCUGACAUGGAGAUUAGACUUUGAAAAACAUUUGAGGGUAUAUAUUUUUAUAUUUCUUCUAUCCAAUUAGUUUGUUAAUUUUUGUUACAACUUCUAUUGAUUUGUUUUAUCUUUCCAUGGAACGAUUAUUUUGUAUGACAUUAAAUUUUAUGCAAUGGAUUGUAUUUUUUGUAUACGAUA